rnacentral:rRNA from 1 species
UACGUAGGGUGCAAGCAUUAAUCGGAUUUAUUGGGCGUAAAGGGCGCGUAGGCGGGGAGGCCAGUCAGAUGUGAAAUCCCGGAGCUCAACUCCGGAACAGCAUUUGAAACUACCUCUCUAGAGGGUAGGCGGAGAAAACGGAAUUCCACAAGUAGCGGUGAAAUGCGUAGAUAUGUGGAAGAACACCAGUGGCGAAGGCGGUUUUCUAGCUUAUACCUGACGCUGAGGCGCGAAAGCAAGGGGAGCAAACAGG